UAAAAGUUUUAUUCUUACUUGAAAAUUUACUUAAAUUUUGUUUUACAUGUAGGUCGUUGCGUGAAAUUGAGUAAAUCUUAAAGAUUAAUUCAUUAAUUUAAUUCGCAGUAUUUAGUAUUAUUAAUUAAAGAAAUUUAGAAUUAGCAAUAUUUUUCAGUCCCGGCAAAAGUCGUGCCAGCCGCCGCGGUUAUACGGAGGGGGCAAGUAAUUCUUAUUAGUUUAUAGUUAUAUGUGAAGUUUAUAAGAUUAAUAAUAAAUUUAUUAGGUGAAAUUUUAAAUUUAAAUAGUUUUGUUAAAAUUGUGUAGAAGCUGAGAAAUUUAAAUUUUAGACUAGGAUUAGAUACCCUAUUAUUUUAAAUGUAAAUUAAUUAAGCUUGAGUAGUACUAGUUAUGUUCUUGAAACUCAAAGAAUUUGGCGGUAUUUUAGUCUUUUCAGAGGAACCUGUCCCGUAAUCGAUAUUCCACGUUGAACCUUACUUAUUUUUGUUGUCAGCUUGUAUACCGCCGUCGUCAGAAUGUCCUAAGAGGGUUAAAAUUUUCUUAAAUUUUUAUUAGAAAUGAUGUCAGGUCAAGGUGUAGCUUACGAAUAAGUGGAGAUGGGUUACAAUAAAUUUAUUUAUACGGAUAAAGCUUUGAAAUUAAGCUUUUGAAGGUGGAUUUGAUGGUAAUUAAUUAAAUUAAGUUAAUUUGAUUUUAGCUCUAAGAUAUGCACACAUCGCCCGUCGCUCUCGUUAAUUAAGGCGAGAUAAGUCGUAACAUAGUAGGCGUACCGGAAGGUGCGCCUGGAAAGUC
rnacentral:ncRNA from 1 species